rnacentral:rRNA from 1 species
UACGGAGGGUGCAAGCGUUAUCCGGGUUCACUGGGUUUAAAGGGUGCGUAGGCGGCGCGGUAAGUCGGGUGUGAAAUCUCGGAGCUUAACUCCGAAACUGCAUUCGAUACUGCCGUGCUUGAGGACUGGAGAGGAGAGUGGAAUUCCUGGUGUAGCGGUGAAAUGCGCAGAUAUCAGGAAGAACACCCGUGGCGAAGGCGGCUCUCUGGGACGUGACUGACGCUGAGACGCGAAGGCGUGGGGAGCGAACAGG